AGUAAGAGAGAAAAAGUCAACUAGUAUAGGAAAUUUCUAAGUAACACUUCAGCUAUUUUUUGAAGUGACAGGUGAAAAAUGUUUAAAAAUUGACGUAGGGAUGUCAUUCUGUGAAACUCCAUGGGAUUCUUAACAUGCAUUAUUCACAAGGGAGUUCUGAAGAGGUACUUGUCACACUUUGUGUAACGCAUAAAUUUGGAAGGAAAAGCAGACCAGGAGCUGGAGGUUUAGUACCACAGAUGUACAUGUAUAGAGAAGUAUAAAAGAAUUUGGAUUGAAAAGGACUUCUGGAGGUCAUCCAGUCCAAACUGCUGCUUCAAGCAGGGCUGACUUCUAAGUUGUUAAAUCAGGUUGCUCUGGAGCUUGCUUUAUACACCACAUUUUAAAUCCAACUUACAAAGAAACCUUUUCAUCAAAACUGGAAUGCAAUUUUCAGUCUGAAAAAGUUAAGCACAGUGCCAUCCCACUGUAAGGAGUCCAUUAGGAUAAAAGUAUUCCAGAACUUUGCUGUGUGAACAGUGAAAUGAAACACUUCCUCUUUACCACUUUCAAUCAAACAGGCACCUGGAUUCCAAGCAAACACUUUGGCCAGAAUUCUCCUCAUCUAAUUUCCAGCAUGUGGUCUUGUUGUGUCAUUUAGGCUACCAAUGGUUGGCAGAGAGCUCCAAGGAUCAAGUGGAUGAAGGCCUCUUCAAUGAAAAGAAGCCUCAAUACCAACCUACUGAGACAUCAUGCCCAAAUUUUAGAUAACUUAAAGCUGGACAAGGUGUUCUGAGUUUUGGUCAAAAUAGCUCUAGAGGUUGUGCACUGAGUCAAAAGACAAGGAAAUGAGACCCCAAGCAAAGCACAGCACUCUAAUCACAGGCUCACAGCUGUUCUGCUACAUCCAGUUUAAUCAGCCCAGUGAAUGAUUGAGCAUAGUAUUGCUGUAACUCUGCUCCCCUUUGACAACCACACUAAUGGAAUGUUCAAUAUCUACCUUAAAUGGCUUGGUAAAAUUAAAUGCAACAAUAAAACCAAAAACCCAUAAGCUAAAACAAUAGCACAUAUAAAAGAAUUACUCCUGCAUAGGGGAGAAUUUGAAAAUUCAGCCAAGUGGAAGAACACAGCAUUCAAGCCGCAAGAUAGUUUUUAAGACUAACAGUAAACUCUGAGUUCCAAGAGAGACAUUUACAGUACAUCACAGACUUGAAAAUACGUGAAUGCUUUUCAGUAGAGACACUAUUGGAGGUCUGAAUGAGACCCACAUAAGGCUCUUGUCCCUUUCUGGGAGGCAUCUCAAUGUGGCCGCUACUGGAUACAGAAAGUAGAUUGGAUAAGCUAUUCUGACAUGCCUAGACAAAUCCUCCUGUACAAAUACACCUCCAGAUUUAAUAUUUAUAUCAACACCUGUCAUUCAAGCAAACAAUUUCUGUAGUUCUUAUGUUUGUUAAUUUAAAAUGCCAUAGAAUUAAAAAUAAAUGAUAAAAUAUUGGCCAGUGAGCUCCCCAGAGGCCUGCAAGUACCCAGGCAUUCUGCCACGGGUCGGUGUGUGCCACAGCCCCCAGCAGAAUUCACUGUUUCUGUAGAAAGGCUCUAACCCAGGCUUACACAGCAAAUACCCCAUCACAAAAAUGCCUGCUUGGGUCUUUUUGCUCUCCAGGAAACUCCAAACAUUAGCACAAGCUGGCAUUUUGGUUUCUUAGCUAUAGCUGUGGAGUGGGGAGUUGAUGCCAAGAAAUCCGUUGAGAGCCAUCAACACAAAAAAAAGCUUUUCUGGCAGGCAUUUCCAGGCUGUUGGUAAUUCCUUUUUUUUUUUUUUUCCUUUGGUUUUCCCCAAUACUCGACACUCCUCCAAAUACUGAAAAUACUGAAAUUUUGCUGGCUUAAAGGAAUAGAAAUCUCACACUAUCUUUUAAAAACAUGACUGCUGAAUUCAUGCAGGUUCCAGCAAUGCAGAAUUUCAUAUCCAAGCCAUUUGCAUUAUAUGGCUGAAACAUGCUGUUUUACAUCCACAGUCAUCCUUUUCAGAGGCUGGUAUCAUUAUCCCCAUUUUUCAAAUGCUGAAGCAAAGAGAAUUUAGGUAACUUGGCACAGAGUCAGUUGAGUAAAGCUGCGCUACAACCUAACUGGAGCUCACUAAAACCUAGUUGGUUUGGCAAGUAUUGGACACUUUCACACCUCAUUUACAAUGUAUCUUUAGCUCUACUUUUAUACUCCAAACAAGAAAAAAUAAUUUUCCUAAGUAACAAGAGCCCCAAGAGCUCUGCUGGAGAAUGAUGAGACAGACACACAUGGCUCUUGGAAGCUCCUGGACAGUGCUCUCCACACAGGAUGUGAUGCUUGGGCUGGUCCUUGCAGAGCCAGGAGCUGGACUUCUUGGAUGGUCCUUGUAGGUCCCCUCCAACUCAGGAUAAUCUGUGAUUCCACAGCCCCUGUGUACUGCUCUGCCAGUGUCCUCUGUCCUUCACGUGCUGUGAUGGGUGCCAGGCCUGGCUGCCAUGACCUGGCUGUGUGCAUGUCUGGCCUCUGCAGAGAUUCAGGUUCUUCAAACCCUGGGGCUCCGCUUAACUGCUUUGGUUUCUACAUCUGAUGGUUAUUUCAAUAGGUUACCUUUCUUAAAUAAAGGACUGGAAUUAAGAACAGAGGGGCUGUGGUGUGUUAGUUUGUGCUGUGGCCAACGUGGCCAAACAUCUGUGAUUUCAAUUGUGAAGCUGACCCCUGUCCAAAAGUAUUUUAUAUUCAUCCCAAAUGCAGUGGUUGGAGCACUGGGCAGGUGGCCACCCACAUCUACACCUAAAAAACUCUGUCCCUGAAAACACUUAGAAAAACAAAGGCUGUUCUAUAAACUGCAUCAUGAAAUAAGGAUACUCUGGGGAAGAACCCCACAUGUUUCCUGAUUUUGGUCACACUUUUAUAUAGGGCUUUCAUUGCAUUUUGCAGUUUUGCAGACUCAGUGGUACCAGACUGCAAAAUGCAAUAUGAAAUAUGAAGAAGUUAAAUACACUUGAUGCACAGAUUACAAAUCUAGAAGGCAUUGCUAUGAUUAUCUAGUCUGCUGCCUAUAUAGCAUGGGCCAUAGAACUUCCUAGAAUUAAUUUCUGUGUGGUUUUAUUAAUUGCUACUGUGAUUUUAAAAAAAUGCAUCCAGCAUCUCCAGUCAUGGGGAAUCCAUCUUAGCCCUUAGUCUCUUGUUUCACUAUUUAUUAACUCUCUCAAUAUUAAAAAUGUGGUCUUGACUUCAAAUCUGAAUUUGUUUAGUUUUGUUACAUCCAAGUCUGCUCAAACCAAUGGUCUUUGGUCACCUUUCAUUGCCCAGGUAAAUGCUUACAGACUAUGAUCAAGGCAUCUCUUACAAUACCAAUUGCUUGAAAGUGCUUUAUCUUUCAAUAAAGGACGUAUUUGCCAGAAUUUUGA